UUCAAGCUACCAAGGUUGAGAAACACUGCUCUAGAGGUAAAAGAGAAUUUGCAUUUUUAUGCCCCAUUGUUAAUUCUCUGCUCUUAGAAAGGUGGCCAAGCCAAGGGAAAAAGCCUAGUUUUCUGUGCGACAUGCCGAUUUUGAAUUUUGUUUCUGAUACAUUUCAAAUAUUUAGCCAUGUCAAGCGUAUACUGCUAUCACCUAUGCUGGUACAGUCCGUUGUAGAAUGGUGCUGAAUUUAUUGUGCAAACGCACAAUAAAUAAAUUCACUCUGAAGGGAUCAGAGACCACACAGCAGUGGUCCAAUUGUUGAAACAAUGCUUUUAAAAGCACGCGUAGCAUCUUGGUUAAUGCGAUCCAGGGGCUGCAUUCUUUCAUAUUUUCAUAGAUACCCUAGACAAGCCCAUUUAUGCCUUUACAUUCUCUGGCCAAGGAUGUAAAGGCAUGACGAUUUCAAACUUCAAAACUGACCAUGUGCCUCCAGCAAGAAAGCCAUGAUAUUGACUAGCCCUGAGCUCCUAAAAAAAAAAUGGCCUUAUGAUUGCAACAUUACACAGCAUGUUAGACAGCAUACUAAAAAGCAGAGACAUCACCCUGCCAAUAAAAGUGGGUAUAGUCAAGGCUAUGGUUUUCCCAGUUGCAAUGUAUGGCUAUGAAAGUUGGACCAUAAGGAAGGCUGAGCGCCAAAGAAUUGAGGCCUUUGAACUCUGGUACUGGAGAAGACUCCUCUGAGUCCCUUGGACUGCAAGGCGAUCCAACCGGUCAGUCCUAGAAGAGGUCAACCCUGACUGCUCUUUAGAAGGCCAGAUCCUGAAGAUGAAACUCAAAUACUUUGGCCACCUAAUGAGAAGGAAGGACUCACUAGAGAAGAGCCUAAUGCUGGGAAUGAUUGAGGGCAAAAGAAGAACGGGACGGCAGAGAACGAGGUGGCUGGAUGGAGUCACUGAAGCAGUCGGGCGUGAGCUUAAAUGGACUCCAGAGGAUGGUAGAGGACAGGAAGGCCUGGAGGAACAUGGUCCAUGGGAUCACGAUGGGUUGGACACGACUUCGCAAUUAACAACAAAUGAUUGCAACGCCUCUGCCAUUAAUAUACUUUUGUGCCUCCUGUCAUCAGGUCAAAGAACAGCUGACCUGGGACAGCAUAGAAAGCUCUUGCAGCAUAAUCUAGAAGACCAACCGAUGUGGCGUUGUUAAGCUUAUUUCAAUUAUGCAGAAGAGCAACGAAUCAUCCAUUAAGUCAGAGUGAAAUUUCUGCCAAAUGUAAGUUUGCUAUAUAUAUAUAAAAACAGGAGCACCCCUGUGAUAUUUAUAUCUAUUUUUUUCUUUCUUAAUAUUGGGAAGAUGCACCUUUCUGAGAUGAGUGAAAGGGUUGAAAUUUUUAUAUCUUCGCCCUGGCUAUCGUGACCACAUUCAGUAUUAGUACCAUGUUUCCCCGAAAAUAAGACUGGGUCUUAUAUUAAUUUUUGCUCCAAAAGAUGCAUUAGGGCUUAUUUUCUGAUUAGGUCUUAUUUGGGGGAGAAUGCAGUACUAAAUGCAUCCAUCUGGCUGACAAUCUUAACUGGGGCUUAUUUUGGGGGGUAGGGCUUAUAUUAGGAGCAUCCUGAAAAAUCAUGCUAGGACUUAUUUUCCGGUUGGGUCCUAUUUUUGGGAAAACAGGAUACUUAGCCAAUGGCAAAAUGCCUUGAAAAACAGGUUGGCGUCCACUCUGUUCAAGGAAACAGUGCAGGGCAUUAACUGGGCACAAUCUGUCUCCUCUUUUGGUAGCCAGGAAAACAGGCAUGGUCAUCAACCUCACUUCAUGUCCUGUCAAGUCAUGUCAGAGGCUGCACACCAUGAAAUGCAAUUUCUUUAGCAAUUUGAUAGUGGAAACCACCAUCUCUCUUUGGAAGUGUUUGAGCUGUGCCCGAAGAGCCAUAUGGCCAGGGAUACUUUAAUUUAGAUCCUUGCAUUGAACAAGGAGUUUGAGCUCAUUGGCCCCAAUCGUACCUUCCAAUUGAGACUCGAUGAUUCUAAAGGGGAGAAAGAGCUGUAUGAAAAAGGUUUUUUUUUAAAAAAGAAAAAAGAUUGAGACAAGCAGACCUAAAAGGCAUCCAGAAUAAAUGAAAGAAGUUCUGGCUUGUGCUGCGUGUUCUUGAUAGCCACAGUGACGGUAGAAAGACAUAGAUUCAGAUGUUGGCUCCAUGCUUGGAGCAUGCAAUGUUUGAAAAUUACAGGUCAUCAUUAAAGGCAGGCAAGGUGCCCUUUUAUGCCCUGUGGCCACUUUGGUCACAGUCCACUUUCUGUGUUUUAAAAAUGCCAAAGAAAGAAAUGAAAAAUAGCCCACCUGUCACUAGGUUAGAAGCAUAGAAUCAUAAAUGGAAGGGACUUGGGAGGUCUUCUAUCUAGUCCAACCCCUUGGCCAAGGCAGGAGAUCUUAUACCAUCCUGAACAAAGCCCAAUCUUUUUUUUUUUUUUAAAUCUCCAGCAAUGGAGCACCUGCUCCAUAUCCAUUUUAGUAAAGGUAAAGGUUCCCCUCGCACAUAUGUGCUAGUCGUUUCUGACUCUAGGGGGCGGUGCUCAUCUCCGUUUCAAGGCUGAAGAGGCAGCGCUGUCCGAAGACAUCUCCAUGGUCAUGUGGCCGGCAUAACUCAACGCCAAAGGCACAUGGAACACUGUUACCUUCCCACCAAAAGUGGUCCCUAUUUUUCUACUUGCAUUUUUUAAGUGCUUUCGAACUGCUAGGUUGGCGGAAGCUGGGACAAGGAACAGGAGCUCACCCUGUUAUGCGGCACUAGGGAUUCGAACUGCUGAACUGCCGACCUUUCGAUCGACAAGCUCAGCGUCUUAGCCACUGAGCCACCGCGUCCCUUAGAAUAUCCAUUUUAGUAGCAUGCAAACAGUUCCCAUCGAUUCGGCUGUUCGAACGGAGAUUAGCAAAUUGGUACUGGUAAUCCCAACAUAGAUUGUUUUCAGAGGUUGAUUGAGAGUUGCCAUACAACACAGCUGGAGAGCAUCAGAAUGCUCCUCCCAAUCUUCCUACCAGUCCAAUACCAACUCCCUGAGUCUGUGAUAGAUCAGCCUUGGGAUUUUUUUGGUGCUCUCCCACCAAAGGUGGGUUUCAUAUAUUUUUACCACCGGUUCGCCACAUGCGUGUACACUCGCUUCACGCACAUGCACAUCUUCUGCGCAUGCACCCGGCCUUCCAUGCACGUGCUUUGCUCAUACACGCAGCUUUUUUGCAUGCACCCAGCCUCGAAAACGUGCCUAAAUAGGACAGCAUAGAAGGCCCUCCCACGAUCGCUGCUACCAGUUCACCCGAAACCAGCUAAAUACCCACCACUGUCUCCCACCUAUGGGAUAAGCAGGUUCAGUCCUGCUUGGAUUUUUAAGACCAGCCAAUGCUAGUUGACUGCCAUCUAGCUGUGUUAAUCUGACCCUUACUGUAGUCCCCCCCCAAAAAAAGAGAGAGAGAGAGACGCAAUUAUUUUAUUUAUUUCUUCAGGCCGAAUAGGGAGUGAUUUUUCCAUCAGCUGCAAGGUUGGAUAAAGACAAGUUCUUCCAUCUGCUACAAGGAGGUUUGCAUGGGAUGGUUUUAAAAAAGGAGGGGGAGAAGAUUGCAUCCAUAACAGACCAACUGAAAUUCCACCCAUUUUUAAUAUGCAUCUCACAUUUGAUGCACAUAACAAGGCAAGCCGAGCUUUGACUGCAUCAUUGUGGCCCCGGGUCUACUGUACGGUCCAAUCCUCCAUGGAAAUUAUCAAUUACAGUAACUGCUUCUGAACACUUAAAAAUGUUAUUUAUUUUUUUCAACCCACCUUUCAGGUUGCAUUGCCCUCCGAAGCCAGUUGAUGAGACAAGAGCCAGUGCCUAGUUGAACAUGGCUUUAAACAUCCUUAAACAAGCGACAAUUAAAACCUUUUGUUUGCUUUUCUUGUGUGUGUAGAGCACAAUUCCUGCCAGAUGCAGAACGGAAUUAAUUUGGUGUUCUGAGUUCUUUUACAAAGACAGCAGUUGAUCAUGCCAUAUAUGAGUCCUCUUCAGGUUCUACUGCCAGAAUUUAAUGGCACGGUUUCCAAAAUAUCAGGAGCAGAAUUUCCUGUCACCUUAUGGUGGGGAUCUCUGUCUCUCUGUCUGUCUGUCUGUCUAAAUCUCCCUUUUUAUGAUCCUGUAAUCCCUUAAUUCGAGGUUGAAUUGGGGCAACUGGAUGGAGCUGAGUGUUUACUCAGGCUGGAUGCCCUUCCUUGAUGCCACGUGGAGUUCGCAACAGAUUUUUUAUUUUUUUUUGCACCCAAGGAGAGAAUUGUCUGCUACUACCUAGGAUUGAACUCUCAACCUUCUAAAACGGAGGUGAAUGUCUUCACCACUAGGCCACCACACUGCUCUGUCUGUUUCAGUAGUGAGUUUCAAAACCCAUCGCUACCGGUAUGCUCGUGGGCGCUCGCUCGUGCGCAUGCGUGACGCUUCUGCAGAAGCGUCUGGGCGAGUGGGCGGAGCCUCCCACUGCCGGCACUACUGGUUCACCCAAUCUGGGGCGAACCGGUUCUGUUUGUCUGUCUGUCUGUCUGUCUGUCUGUCUGUAUCUAUCUAUCCAUCCAUCCAUCCAUCCAUUCAUCCAUCCAUCAUCCAUCAUCCCUCUAGCUAGCUAGUUAUCCAUCUAGUUAUCUAUCUAUAUCUAUCUGUCUACCUACCUACCUACCUCUAUAUCUCUCUAUCUAUCUAUCUACCUACCUACCUACCUACCUCUAUUUCUCUCUCUCUCUCUCUCUCUAUCUAUCUAUCUAUCUAUCUAUCUAUCUAUCUACCUACCUACCUCUAUUUCUCUCUCUCUCUCUCUCUAUCUAUCUAUCUACCUACCUACCUACCUACCUACCUACCUACCUACCUACCUACCUAAACACUUUUUUGAAAGGAUUUGUGUGUGAGGCAACUCUGGGUUCUUUGCUCGUCCUUUAUGGCUUUCUUCUCCACACUUUUGAGCCCAGGGCCAUGAAAAAUUUGCCUACCUUUCUCGCAGAGAACCAGGGGUGCUGCACAAGGUAGUGUCAACACUUCAAGAUGGCAACUGCAAUGAUGUGAUCAAAGCUCCACCCAUUCUUAUGCAAAUGAGGGACACUUAAAAAAAAAACACUGAGCUGCAAUUCCAUUCUUCCGGCCAUUUUCUUGGCUGUUUUGAGAACGUCCUGUGUUCACUCCUGCAAACUACCCUCUGACAGUUUGAUCUUUUCAUUUUAAUGCACCUUAAAACAUGUACAGAGUUGGUCUAUGCUGGCUUGUGAACACUGUGUCCUAUAAAGUAAUGUAUUCUUUUUUUAAAAAAUUCCUUUAUUUGCUCAAUUUAUAUACCAAGCUCAGGAGCCGAAGAAGCAUUCAUAACUCCCCCCUCCUAUUAUUUUUGUGCACAACAACUCUGAGAUAGGUUGGAUUGAUGGAGAAUGACUGGCCUAAAGCUACCCAACUUUCCAGGCUGAGGAAAGACCCAGGAUUCUUCAAAGGCAGUCCAAUGGUUUAAUAAAGGUAAAGGUUCCCCUCGCACAUAUGUGCUAGUCGUUCCCGACUCUAAGGGGCAGUGCUCAUCUCCAUUUCAAAGCCAAAGAGCCAGCGCUGUCCGAAGACGUCUCUGUGGCUUAGGUGGCCGGCAUGACUAAACGCCAAUGGUGCACGAAACGCUGUUACCUUCCCACCAAAGGUGGUCCCUAUUUUUCUACUGGCAUUUUUUAUGUGCUUUCGAAAUGUUAGGUUGGCAGAAGCUGGGACAAGUAACGGGAGCUCACCCCGUUAUGCGGCACUAGGGAUUCGAACCGCUGAACCGCCGACCUUUCGAUCAACAAGCUCAGCAUCUUAGCCACUGAGCCACCGCGUCCCUUUAAUGGCUUAAUACUUAGAGCAUAAUAGCUCUUACAAUGCUGAACUGAUGCAACCACUGAUUCAAUGAAUUGAACUGUGCUGGAAAUGAAAUAUUCUUGACCCCGCCCUCAAAACAGUCGAGGUAAAGUCGUAUGUAUGUAUGGCAUGGGGAAGGAUGAUGUGCAGAGACGGAACGGUGUGUCUUUUCUUGCAUGUCUAUGCUAGGUUUUAAAUGACUGCAUUUUGUAUAAAUAAAAGUAUCCACUUUCCCCCCCCCCACCCUUAAUAAAAUGACUCUUGUGUUGAAUCUCCUUAA